rnacentral:rRNA from 1 species
CCUACGGGCGGCAGCAGUAGGGAAUAUUGCUCAAUGGGGGAAACCCUGAAGCAGCAACGCCGCGUGGAGGAUGAAGGUUUUCGGAUUGUAAACUCCUUUUGUUAGAGAAGAUAAUGACGGUAUCUAACGAAUAAGCACCGGCUAACUCCGUGCCAGCAGCCGCGGUAAUACGGAGGGUGCAAGCGUUACUCGGAAUCACUGGGCGUAAAGAGCGCGUAGGCGGGAUAGCAAGUCAGAUGUGAAAUCCUAGGGCUUAACCAUAGAACUGCAUUUGAAACUGUUAUUCUAGAGUAUGGGAGAGGUAGGUGGAAUUCUUGGUGUAGUGGUAAAAUCCGUAGAGAUCAAGAGGAAUACUCAUUGCGAAGGCGACCUGCUAGAACAUAACUGACGCUGAUGCGCGAAAGCGUGGGGAGCAAACAGGAUUAGAUACCCUUGUAGUC